rnacentral:rRNA from 1 species
UACGUAGGGGGCAAGCGUUGUCCGGAAUCAUUGGGCGUAAAGAGCGCGUAGGCGGUCCGGUAAGUCCGCUCUGAAAGCCCGGGGCUCAACCCCGGGAGGCGGGCGGAUACUGCCGGGCUAGAGUCCGGAAGAGGAGAGUGGAAUUCCUGGUGUAGCGGUGAAAUGCGCAGAUAUCAGGAAGAACACCCGUGGCGAAGGCGGCUCUCUGGGACGGUACUGACGCUGAGACGCGAAAGCGUGGGGAGCGAACAGG